GGCGUGAUUGUCCAAUGGUAGCAUACGGGUCUCAUAAGCCUGGGGUAGGGUUCGAUUCCCUGAACGCCUCCA
rnacentral:tRNA from 1 species